rnacentral:tRNA from 1 species
CAAGAAAUAGUUUAUAAAAACAUUAACCUUGGACGUUAAAAUAUGGGAAUCUACCCAUUUCUUGA